rnacentral:lncRNA from 1 species
AUUUGGGGGCAAAUAACCGGAGUAGGUUUGUUCCUGUGCCUUGGCGAGUCGCCGGUGCGUAUCGGAGUCUCUGCCAGCCAUUGAUUUCUACGGGUUUCAAGAAGAGGGAGAACAGGAUGGAGGAGAUGUUGGGCUGAUGGUGUUUGGUCCCCUGACACCCGGAGAACGGCUGCCCGGGUUAUCCCAGUUAAAUUCCUGGGCCUGAACGGAGUGAAACGAUGUUUUUGUUCGUGUGCAGUUGUCCAUGAGGCAGUGCUUCCUUCAUCCGUUUCCUCCCAGUCCAUACCUUCCUUGGCUUGUCUGACCAGUCUCUUUCCUCAGCUUUUCUCCCCCAGCCAUUGCAUAAAAGUCUUACGUGUGUGUUUCUCUUUAAGGCUUCAUUUCUUUUCCUGAGUGUUGCCUACUGAUAACGGCAUGCAUU